ACCGUUUUCAAGAAGACAGAAUCCCAUUUUGUGACGUUUCGUAGUGGAAGAUGGAAGAAUCAUGAGGUGAUGUCAACAGCAAGAUCAAGACCGAUGGCAAAAUGCAAGAUGGAAGAAUCAUGAGGUGAUGUCAUGAAGAGACAUCAAACUCCAAUGUGCUUGAAGGAACUUGUGGCAGGGCACUUGAAGGAGGAAUCACCAGACAACAAUUGAAAUGAGAUGAAGGUGAAGGAUGCGGACACAAAGUCUAUUAGCUGGGCGACCAUCAAUAUUCAUGAUAAGGUUGCAAAGCUUCCAUCAGAGCACUUGCCAAGAAGGUUAAUCCAUUGUCUAACUUUUGUUAUAUGUACGGUUUAUGUGUCUGCUAGAGAUCAUUAGCAACUUUAGGAAUUAGCAUGUGCAAUUUUGCCAAAUGUGGUUCUCAUGUCAGUAACAUUCAAGCAUAGUGCAGACUCUCUUCAGUACAUGUUUUGCUUCAGUUAGGAGAACUGCUUCUAAUCUUUAAUAACUUUGAUUUUAUUUUCAUUUCCCAAGAGAUUUAUUGAUAUAUUCAGAAUCAUUACUGUUUUUGUACCAAUUGCUUUAAUUGAUGUGGAAGAGAAGUCUUAUUUGGGGAA